rnacentral:rRNA from 1 species
GACGAACGCUGGCGGCGUGCUUAACACAUGCAAGUCGAACGGAAAGGCCCGGCUUUUGUGGGGUGCUCUAGUUGCGAACGGGUGAGUAACACGUGAGUAACCUGCCCCUGACUUUGGGAUAACUUCAGGAAACUGGGGCUAAUACCGGAUAGGAGCUCCUGCUGCAUGGUGGGGGUUGGAUAGUUUCGGCGGUUGGGGAUGGACUCGCGGCGCAUCAGGUUGUUGGUGGGGUAGUGGAUUAGCAAGGCCUUGACGGGUAGCCGGCCUGCGAGGGUGACCGGCUACAUUGGGACUGGAAUACGGCACAGACUCCUCCGGGAGGCAACGGUGGAGAAUAGUGUACAAUGGGCGGAAGCCUGAUGCAGCAACGCAACGUGCGGGAUGACGGCCUUCGGGUUGUAUACCGCAUUCGCCUGUGACGAAACGUUAGUGACGGUAAUGGGUAAAGAAGCACCGGCUAACUACGUG